rnacentral:lncRNA from 1 species
CCUAAACAGAGGGUAUGGGUACUCACAGUGCUCAGAGCCAUCGCUGUGCCCUGGUGCUGUGCUGUCUGUCCUGUAAGCAGUGUGCUGUAGCUGCUCUGGCAGUUUCCUUGCUGCCCUCUGGCAGCACUGCCCGGCUCCCACCCGGCUGACACACAAAGAUGGUGUGUAUGCAAUGCUGAUGGGGAGGAUCAGCCCAUGCCCUGUGCAGUGGGCAGAGGAAUGUGACAGAGCCACCAGUCCUUGGCACUGGGGUUAUCCACCGUGGCACCAUAGCCCUGCAGUGCUGCCACCUGUUACCACACUUGAGCUAAGGAGGCUGUCCCAGCUGGUGCUCCUGAGGCUGCCCAGGGUGCAGUCCAAGCCUUGCAUUUGCUCUAUAGGUUGAAUUUGGGGCUGCAAAAUAAACCACUGUGUUGAGUUCUUUGGCUGCACGCCUGUGACCUUUUCAUCCCGUGUAGCUGCUGUAUUUCCCAUGUGUUUGCAGCACUCUUCGCAGUCUCCUCCCUGAUCUGUGUCCCUGUGUGCCAGAAGCAUCGCUCAGUGAGACUUAAACAAGAAAUACCUUGUGCUACACUGCCACUUGUGCACCCUUGUUUGACUGAUGCUUGAUCCUGUCUGCUGGGAAGGCUGGCUGAAUGGAGGCAGACCCAUCUCCUCUUUCUCUCCUCUGGAACGUGCUUUCAGUCUGCUGCUGCAGUGCAGAUUUGCAGCUGGGUUCUGCUCAGGGUGUGUGGCUGCUCGGCCUCACUGCUGCUUUCCUGCACUGGAUGCGUGCACCUCCAGGAGUGUUGGUUCUUCUGCAUCUCAGGGAAGGAGACUCAUCCUCAUCUGCGCCCUUUUCAGCUGUGAAGGAAGUGUUGGUGCAGGGUCUCCAGGAGGGCCAUAGGUCCUAUGGGCCAACCUGGGCUCAUCCAUGCAGAGCUCCUCCUGGCGCAGUGUGUCUGCCAUAUCCCAGGAUAGAGGAUCCCUGCUGGCUGAGUGCUGCCCUGCGGUGUGGACAGAGGGAGAAGAGGACCCUGAGCUGGGCUCGAUGCCAACAGAGGCAUUUGGUGUGGGCAGCGGGAUGGUUCCCAGCGCCCAUCCACCUCAUGGCCAUGCACAGGGC